GUGGGAUCUUCUUAGACCAAGGAUCGAACCUGUGUCUCCUGCAUUGGUAGGUGGAUUCUUUACCACUGAUCCAGCAGGGAAGCCCUUGAACCUCUUUUUUUCCUACCUCCAUUUCCCCUACUUUCUCAUCCAAAGCUCUAGCUACUAUUUGCAUGAACUGAAGAUGACGACAGAGGAUGAGAUGGUUGGUUGGCAUCGUCGACUCAGUGGAUAUGAGGGACUCUUGACUGUGAAUAAUUCCCCUCCCAAGUGGAGAGUAAGACCUUCGGACUGAGAGAACUUUCUGCAUAAGGACUCCUCUUGGCUCCAAGAGGAGCUGAGGAAUCCAUAAAAAUGUACAGAGGAGAGAAGAGACAGCCCCACUUCCUCUAGCAUUGCUGGGGAGAAUGGAGAGCAAGGUGACCUCUGCACCUAGGAAGAGGGCUGUGGAAAUACUAAUUUUCCCUCCCCCGGGGCAAUUUUGAAUAAAUAUUUUGGUUUAGUUAUUUUAAAAUAUAUGAGUGUCUAUCACAGAGCCUUUUAAAAAGUAGACAUUUAAUAAAUAUCUGCCCCA